GACGAACGCUGGCGGCGUGCCUAAUACAUGCAAGUAGAACGCACAGUUUAUACCGUAGCUUGCUACACCAUAAACUGUGAGUUGCGAACGGGUGAGUAACGCGUAGGUAACCUGCCUGGUAGCGGGGGAUAACUAUUGGAAACGAUAGCUAAUACCGCAUAAUAUUGAUUAUUGCAUGAUAAUUGAUUGAAAGAUGCUAUUGCAUCACUACCAGAUGGACCUGCGUUGUAUUAGCUAGUAGGUGAGGUAACGGCUCACCUAGGCGACGAUACAUAGCCGACCUGAGAGGGUGAUCGGCCACACUGGGACUGAGACACGGCCCAGACUCCUACGGGAGGCAGCAGUAGGGAAUCUUCGGCAAUGGACGAAAGUCUGACCGAGCAACGCCGCGUGAGUGAAGAAGGGUUUCGGAUCGUAAAGCUCUGUUGUAAGAGAAGAACGGGUGUGAGAGUGGAAAGUUCACACUGUGACGGUAUCUUACCAGAAAGGGACGGCUAACUACGUG
rnacentral:rRNA from 1 species